UCUGCUUCGCCGCUUUCGACGUCCGCUUUGACUUCGCGUGUUUGGCUAUUGAAUUGCUGUUUGCUUGCCACACAUGCCACUUCUGUGACAGGCCAUGGUAGUGUGUUGUUAUUCCGGUUGCGCUAAUCGUUCAGAGUUUGCAAGUAAAGAAUCUGGCAUAACGUACCACCACUUUCCCCGAGACGAGUCCUUACGAUUGCAAUGGGUGAAUGCGAUCGGGAGACCGGAUUGGGUGCCAACGAAGUACAGCCGAGUGUGCUCAAAACACUUCAGGAACGAGGACUUCGACAGAACGUCGCUAACACGCGUGCGCCUGCGGGAGGGUUCCGUUCCUGUCGCACAUCCGUCGGUUCAAGUUCACCAGGAGGAGCAUGACUUGCCAGCCAGACGGGAACCUAGCGGGC